rnacentral:lncRNA from 1 species
UUCAUUCCCCUUCGUUGGAGUUCCACUCCUAAAGGUAAGGCUCCUUGAACCGUUGACCAAAGGAAAAGCUGAAGUUUUGGGGACGUUUUUAUUGACCAAAUGUCUUUUUGCCAAUUAAAAUCCAGGUUCUGUUGAUUGGUUGCAGCAAGAACACUGGGAAUGACCAUCUGAGGGGGGGUUGUUACUGCAUUAUACCCGGAUUUCGUUGAAUAAACCCCCGAGUCAUGUUUGAGCCAGACGUAGGUGUCUUCUGCUCCUUCCUUGCUGGGGUGAAGGCAUUGGAUUUGCGAACUGAACUCCGGUAGGAAUUGUUAUAUUCUGCUCUUGUUCCAUUGAAGGUCAUCAGUAAGGAAGUCCGAGACUCUCAGGUCAAGGGCUGCUUCAGGUAUUGGGCCCAUAGGUUGUAGCUAAGUGUUAGAUGAAAUCCAUGAAUCUUUCCAAACCCUUGUGGACUGACCGUUGCCUAUUGCUUUCCCUAGAUUCUCCCGCAGUAGUUCUCUUCCAUAGAGAAUGCAUCUCC